rnacentral:rRNA from 1 species
GAUGAACGCUGGCGGCGUGCUUAACACAUGCAAGUCGAACGAUGAAGCCCAGCUUGCUGGGUGGAUUAGUGGCGAACGGGUGAGUAACACGUGAGUAACCUGCCCUCAACUCUGGGAUAAGCCUGGUAAACUGGGUCUAAUACCUGAUAGGAGCGUCCACCGCAUGGUUGGUGCUGGAGAGAUUUAUCGGUUUUGGGUGGACUCGCGGCUUAUCCGCUUGUUGUUGAGGUAAUGGUUCACCAAGGCGACGACGGGUAGCCGGCCUGAGAGGGUGACCGGCCACCAUGGGACUGAGACACGGCCCAGACUCCUACGGGAGGCAGAAGUGGGGAAUAUUGCACAAUGGGCGCAAGCCUGAUGCAGCGACGCCGCGUGCGGGAUGACGGCCUUCGGGUUGUAAACCUCUUUCAGUAGGGAAGAAGCGAAAGUGACGGUACCUGAAGAAGAAGCACCGGCUAACUACGUG